CUAACUUUAAAAUCAACCUCCACCGUCGGAUUCGGCUGAGAUUAAAUCUCAGCCAUUUAAACUCAAAAAAAUAACCGCCGUAGUGGCGGUUCUUAGCAGUUCUGGGCGGUUCCCAUCGUCCCCUUUUAUCUCCCCCACUUCGCCAAUGGUUUCAUACUUUCAUCACGUCUUCCCAUCUUGCCAACUGCACCUCCCCAUUACCCCACGUACAAAGGUUUCAUAUUAAUGAUGGAGAUAGGGUUAAUUAAUUCUCCAAACAGAAGUCUCCAUUCCCCUCCAAUAUGACUACACAUAUUAUGAUCAACAAUGAGGUCUUACUCUUUUAGCUUAAAGAGAUCGAUGCGACAGACGGACGAAAGGAGAGUGUGUCGUCUCGGUUGCGGAUGGCGUCGUGUGUAGCACGAGUGACAUGGACGAUCGCGGUGGAGCUUUGUUUCUCGAUUAAAUAGGCUGGAUUCAAUGAAUAGGAAUAAGAAGGGUCAAAAGUCAACAUUUGGGAUGUGUAUGGUUUCAGAUGCUCCUUCAGCAUAUAACCACUUCGAGGCCUCAAAUUGAAAGCUAGAAGGAAAUGAAGUCCAGAAGCGAUUGGGGAAGAAAUCUUCAAUUCAAUCUUCAAUUAACGCACGUUGAGUCAUUCAUCAUCAUCAGGUGGAAAAUUUGAAAUCUCUACUUGAGAUAGAGAUAAGACUCGAGAAUUAAAAACCGAACAGUGAACAUGAAGAUUUUUGAAACUUUAUCUGGACAAAACACAAGAAAAAUCCGCAAAAUUCUGAUGCAGGAAUCAAAGAAAGAGAGGUGCUCAUUGGUGGAGACUUUGUGAUCUAAAUUGACUCUAGGCAGAAGAAACUGGUUGAUUCUGUUAAUAAGGUCAGUCAGCUUGAAUCCCAACAUUCUCAAGGUUUCUUCCAUUACUAAAAAAGUAUAGAUACUUCUACAUAUUGCUCGGAAGAUAUAAGUUGUUUUAUAAUUAAUGUAGUAUAUUUUCUUUCCUACGUAUAAAGUGGUUUAUAAGGCUGUAGGGUGUGGCAUCGACAAGGGGUCGGCGAGUCUCAUGUGGCAUCGGCGCCGAAGAGGAACACCGCCCCCAUAUCCGGUGGGUUGGGUUCGGUGAAGGGAGAGGAAGGUGGAAUUGAGAGGAAGGUGGUGUGAGGUGGUUGGGAAGUUUGGAUUGUUCACACCCUGAUGUUGUUGCUUAUGUACAAGAAGCAGGUUUAAACCAGCAAAUUUUGGUGUGGGGUCAAUUGUCGAGCAGAAAGAUCCAAUAAAAGGGUUUGCAGAACUAUUUGGAAAAGAUACACACAAAUGUGCAUAACUCGGUUGUUAAAACGGGCAACAGGCAGGUUCACUGGAGAUAGACAAUUAUGCCCUCUUGGUAAAUGAGAUCAAAGGAGGAUUAAGCAGGUUCUUGAUCAUUGGUCAUAUAUCAAAAUGUGCGAUUUGACAUUAUUAGUUAACAUAUGGUUCAAAACUCAAGUUUUAUACAAUGUAUGA
rnacentral:lncRNA from 1 species